rnacentral:rRNA from 1 species
AUUGAACGCUGGCGGCAGGCCUAACACAUGCAAGUCGAACGAGUGGCGGACGGGUGAGUAAUGUCUGGGAAACUGCCUGCUGGAGGGGGAUAACUACUGGAAACGGUAGCUAAUACCGCAUACCAUACGAUGUGCCCAGAUGGGCUUAGCUAGUUGGUGGGGUAACGGCUCACCAAGGCGACGAUCCCUAGCUGGUCUUAGAGGAUGACCAGUCACACUGGAACUGAGCCACGGUCCAUACUCCUAGGGGAGGCAGCAGUGGUGAAUAUUGCACAAUGGGCGCAAGCCUGAUGCAGCCAGGCCGCGUGUAUGAAGAAGGCCUUCGGGUUGUAAAGUACUUUCAGCGGGGAGGCGUUACCCGCAGAAGAAGCACCGGCUAACUCCGUGCCAGCAGCCGCGGUAAUUC